UCAAUUUAUUCGUAAUAUAAACAUUUCUGUCAAUAGUUUGUCCAAAUGGGUACCAGACUACCAUUCUUUGGGUCGGAUAGAAUAAAACGAGCACCCAAGGGAUGAUGUAUAAGUCUCCAGGAAGAAGUAAUUUCAGAAAUACGAUUUCGUUGAUUGUUCAUUCGCGCAGGACGUCAAAAAGUUUCGAAACUUCUACCAAUGGCUGUGAUUGGUCGCCCCAUGUUGGCGUCCUCUCAUUUCGACCAAUCAGGUUUAUCGUUGUAGGGUGCAAUGCGCGGAGUGUGGGGGCGUGCAACAGUCGUCUUGAAGCUUCGUCCGUUUGGCACGUGUCUGCAACAGGUAUCGGCCGAUAGCAGAAUAUACCGAACAUUGCCGAGUGUUGUCGAAGUGCUGACCGGUCUACGAUGGGAAGGAAGGUCUCGCCAUUGCUCUCUCGAGCGUCGAAGUGAGAAGACGUGUCGAGAUCAGGCUCCCGUAUAAGCAAUACAAAAAUAUUUAUUUGAUUUCAAAAAGGCGCCAUGGGAUACGACGCCAUUGAUAUUGGUUCGAAAUAUAAUUUUGUAAAGGGUAUAUAAUAUAAUUGGUAACGUUUUAAUUUAUUAUAAUCAAUUAUUAACAUUUAUUAUUGCUUUUUUUGAGUCGUUGUUAAG